UAUAAAUGUAUUGUUUCUCUUAUUGAAAAAUUAAGCAUAUCAGUUGUGAAACUCUGAUUGCUUCCUUGCUGCACGUUUGUGAGCAAGUAAAUUGUUUUUGUUUCUUCCUCCUUUGUUUUCUGUUUUGUUCUUUUUCUAAAAGCUGCUGCCAUUGUUCUUUCUUUUUCUUUUUUCUGCCUGUUAAUCGAGAGCUUAUGCUCUUGAUGCUUUGUGUUUCUGCUUGCUGUUUGAAGAGCUUAUGCUCUUAGUGUUUCAUUGUUCGGUUGUUGCUGCCAUUGUUCCAACAACUUCAGGCUAGGAUGAGAACCCAGCAGCAAGUAUGGUAACGGAAGAGAGUAGAGAGGUCGAAACACAGGGCCAAUAUAUUAAUGGAAUGUGCUCAGAUCAUCAUGUCUCACAGGACUUUAUAAGUGGGAUCAUGAAGAUUGUUCCCUCAGAUCUUGAUAAUGAUGCUGAUUAUUGCCUUUUAUCGGAUCCUAGUGUUAGCAUCACCGACAUAUGGCGAACCGAAUGUAUAUAUCCUCUCUAUGGAGACACACUCAGAUACAUUAAACUAUUUUCUUUAGCUCAUUAUUUUGCAUAUUCCCGACUCUUUCGACUAUAUAGCUGGCAUCGAAUUGAACAAUUUUGAUACACUUCAAUACACUGGCACGGCUGCUGGUAGCACGACACAGCCCCAAACGCCUCCAUUAAAUGCGGCUGAAAUACCGCCUCCAGGUAAUUCAACCGGCAGGUAAAGAGUCAUUGGCUUUAUAUUUCCCGUUGAGAUCGUUCCUUAUACUUUGAAUACUUCGAAUAGGAAGUAGGUAGCACAAAUGCACAAUCAUUGUACAGUUAAUACAAAUGAUCUAACAUAGGUAAGGUCAUAAUAUUUUCACUGGCAUAAAGACAUCAUGUGAUGUCAAACAAAUGAUCUGAUGGUACCUUGUUUUUACUGUAUUGUGCUAUAAAGUUUUUUUCUUUUUGUUUUGCAAAUAUUGAAAUUCAAGUUUUAGAGGUGAUUUUGGAUAGGAUCGUAA